rnacentral:lncRNA from 1 species
GGGGCUUCCUCUCAUCUGUCUCUUUCCCUGGAGAGGCGACUCUGGCUCUCAAUGUGCUAAGCGUUUCAACAUCUUGGCGUGGUGGCAGCAUUUGGGUUUUCGUGGUCACAUCCAUAGACUACUAUAUCUUCAAGAAUCCUGACUGCCACACUGGGAAAUAAAGACACAUGAUGCUGUGAUGGCAGACAAGCAAACUGGAA